UAGAAUCCUGCCUUUGAGAGAGACCAGGGACUCAGCUGCUGGAGGAACUAGGAGCUUGCUUCUCUGAUCCCAGUACACUUCCUGCUAUUAACAUGUUUGCCGAAUUGAUGCAUUUUAAACGAUCCAGCGAAUGUUUAGCACUUGCACUUGCGACGCAGACACCGAGGCACACAGAGGCCAAUUUCACCUGCCCAGAGGGAUGAGACCUCUGAUUCUGAGAGGACCAAGUUACGUUUACGUGACACCAAAGAAUGAACUAUCUGCUUCAGUCAAGACUCGGGAUGGAACCUCACCAGGCCAGAACAUCAGGCUGGACUCCUGGCAUGCAGAGGGACAAUGCCACACGAUCUAGCCACAUUGUCACUCCCAGAAAGCUAUAAUGGAGGGCAUUUAUGCCAUUCUUUAUAAAAUGAGAAGUUUACUAAAGACACAGCAUCAUGCCGGGGUGGAAUAAAUGGACUUCAGGAACAUGGGGGUAGGCUCAUGACCAGGGCUAUGGCUUCAGAAAUACCAAGACAGAGUUAAACCAACAGCAACAUAGCACCUGCAAUCAGCAAGCCAUCAGUAUACCUUCUUUAGUUCUGCCCUCCACAGGGGACUUAGGAGCACAUUUCCCUGUACGUGUGCCACCUGCAGGGACUAGCAUUGAAACACAGCAAGCCACCUGAUGAGCAGGUAUAGGAAAUGAUAGGAGCGACUUCAUGACAUUUUGAUGUAGGGAUAAAAGCAGACAAAGUCAAGUUUCUGGGCUGGAAAUCCUCAAGGCCUCAAUGUCCAACUACCUGUGAAAAUGUCCUCGGGAGGUAACUCCAGACCUAGAGUUCCAAAGGUGGGAUGCAUCCUGGCAGAACAACGUUGGAGAUCACACUACACUACUAGAACUUAGAUAUGCUCCUAGGAGAUCUGGACACCUUCAGUGUCUGUUCCACGUCUUGAAGAAGUCACACAACCCCUCCACAUCUUGGUUUUCCAACUUGUAAUACAAUUGAAUUGCCCACUUGUCUCUCUUCAUAUGGAGAAUUAGAACGACAGUGAACACAGGGGAGACCUUUAGGAAUAGGAGAAGACCGCUUCAAGUACACAGUCUCAGUCACGUGAUCUGCUUUUCACUUUGACCUCAACGGAGCCAGCAGAAGAAAAAGUCUCCAACAAGAAAGGACGACAAAGCCAGGUGAUGGUGAUGCACACCUUUAAUCUCUACACUUGGGAGGCAGAGGCAGGGGGAUCUCUG